ACGGUCCUAAGGUAGCGAAAUUCCUUGUCGGGUAAGUUCCGACCCGCACGAAUGGCGUAACGACUUGGGCACUGUCUCAACAAGGGACCCGGCGAAAUUGUAGUAUGUGUGAAGAUGCACAUUACCCGCGAUAGGACGGAGAGACCCCGUAGAGCUUUACUGUAGUUUAACAUUGGAUUUUGAUAACACAUGUACAGGAUAGGUGGGAGGCUGAGAAACCGGCACGCCAGUGCCGAUGGAGCCGCUGUUGGGAUACCACUCUUGUGUUAUUGGAGUUCUAACGAAGUGCCGUAAACCGGGCUUCGGACAGUGUUAGAUGGGCAGUUUGACUGGGGCGGUCGCCUCCGAAAGAGUAACGGAGGCGUCCAAAGGUUCCCUCAGAAUGGUUGGAAACCAUUCACAGAGUGCAAAGGCAGAAGGGAGCUUGACUGCGAGACCGACAGGUCGAGCAGGUACGAAAGUAGGGCUUAGUGAUCCGGCGGUAUGAGAGUGGAAUUGCCGUCGCUCAACGGAUAAAAGCUACCUCGGGGAUAACAGGCUGAUCUCCCCCAAGAGUUCACAUCGACGGGGAGGUUUGGCACCUCGAUGUCGGCUCGUCGCAUCCUGGGGCUGGAGCAGGUCCCAAGGGUUUGGCUGUUCGCCAAUUAAAGCGGCACGCGAGCUGGGUUCAGAACGUCGUGAGACAGUUCGGUCCCUAUCCAUCGUGGGCGCAGGAGAUUUGAGAGGAGCUGUCCUUAGUACGAGAGGACCGGGAUGGACGCACCAAGGGUGAAUCAGUUGUCGUGCCAACGGCACAGCUGGGUAGCCAAGUGCGGAUCGGAUAAACGCUGAAGGCAUCUAAGCGUGAAGCCGACCUCAAGAUAAGAUCUCCCAUCCGAAAGGAGUAAGACCCCAUGAAGACCACAUGGUUGAUAGGCCGGAGGUGGAAGUGCAGUAAUGUACGGAGCUGACCGGUACUAAUAGGUCGAGGGCUUGAUCGA
rnacentral:rRNA from 1 species